rnacentral:rRNA from 1 species
CCUACGGGGGGCAGCAGUGAGGAAUAUUGGUCAAUGGACGCAAGUCUGAACCAGCCAUGCCGCGUGCAGGAAGACGGCUCUAUGAGUUGUAAACUGCUUUUGUACGAGGGUAAACGCAGAUACGCGUAUCUGUCUGAAAGUAUCGUACGAAUAAGGAUCGGCUAACUCCGUGCCAGCAGCCGCGGUAAUACGGAGGAUUCAAGCGUUAUCCGGAUUUAUUGGGUUUAAAGGGUGCGUAGGCGGUCGGAUAAGUUAGAGGUGAAAUCUCGAGGCUCAACUUCGGAAUUGCCUCUGAUACUGGUCUGCUUGAGAGUAGUUGCGGUAGGCGGAAUGUAUGGUGUAGCGGUGAAAUGCUUAGAGAUCAUACAGAACACCGAUUGCGAAGGCAGCUUACCAGGCUACUACUGACGUUGAGGCACGAAAGCGUGGGUAGCAAACAGGAUUAGAUACCCCGGUAGUC